UACGCAGGGGGCGAGCGUUGUUCGGAUUUACUGGGCGUAAAGGGCGCGUAGGCGGCCCUCCUUGUCGCGUGUGAAAGCCCCGGGCUCAACCUGGGAACGGCGCGCGAGACGGGGGGGCUGGAGUUCGGGAGAGGAGCGUGGAAUUCCCAGUGUAGAGGUGAAAUUCGUAGAUAUUGGGAAGAACACCGGUGGCGAAGGCGGCUCUCUGGGACGGUACUGACGCUGAGACGCGAAAGCGUGGGGAGCGAACAGG
rnacentral:rRNA from 1 species